rnacentral:rRNA from 1 species
GAAGGUUUAUCCUGGCUCCAGAUGACCGCUAGCGACAGGCUUAACACUUUCAGUUGGAGGGGCAGCUUGAUUNGUAGCAAUACAGAUUGAUGGCGACCGGCGCACGGGUGAGUAACGCGUAUGCAACUUACUAUUCAGAGGGGGAUAGCCCGGCGAAAGUCGGAUUAAUACCCCAUAAAACCGGGGUCCCGCAUGGGAAUAUUUGUUAAAGAUUCAUCGCUGAUAGAUAGGCAUGCGUUCCAUUAGGCAGUUGGCGGGGUAACGGCCCACCAAACCGACGAUGGAUAGGGGUUCUGAGAGGAAGGUCCCCCACAUUGGUACUGAGACACGGACCAAACUCCUACGGGAGGCAGCAGUGAGGAAUAUUGGUCAAUGGCCGAGAGGCUGAACCAGCCAAGUCGCGUGAAGGAAGAAGGAUCUAUGGUUUGUAAACUUCUUUUAUAGGGGAAUAAAGUGGAGGACGUGUCCUUUUUUGUAUGUACCCUAUGAAUAAGCAUCGGCUAACUCCGUGCCAGCAGCCGCGGUAAUACGGAGGAUGCGAGCGUUAUCCGGAUUUAUUGGGUUUAAAGGGUGCGUAGGUGGUGAUUUAAGUCAGCGGUGAAAGUUUGUGGCUCAACCAUAAAAUUGCCGUUGAAACUGGGUUACUUGAGUGUGUUUGAGGUAGGCGGAAUGCGUGGUGUAGCGGUGAAAUGCAUAGAUAUCACGCAGAACUCCGAUUGCGAAGGCAGCUUACUAAACCAUAACUGACACUGAAGCACGAAAGCGUGGGGAUCAAACAGGAUUAGAUACCCUGGUAGUCCACGCAGUAAACGAUGAUUACUAGGAGUUUGCGAUACAAUGUAAGUUCUACAGCGAAAGCGUUAAGUAAUCCACCUGGGGAGUACGCCGGCAACGGUGAAACUCAAAGGAAUUGACGGGGGCCCGCACAAGCGGAGGAACAUGUGGUUUAAUUCGAUGAUACGCGAGGAACCUUACCCGGGUUUGAACGUAGUCUGACCGGAGUGGAAACACU